ACUGAAAGAUCAGGAAAAUUCUCUUGCAGGAAGUGAUGUUUGAGCUGACCUUUGUAGGAAACUGGGGAUUCUGAGAAAUUGAAGUGAGGAGGGAAUAUGUUCCAGGAAAGGAAAACAGCAAGUACAAAGACAUGCAGACAAAAUAGAUAAAGGAAAUAGCAUUUAUUAAGCACUUACUAUGUACCAAGUCAUGUAUAAAGUUCUAUAAGCUGGAGGGGUAUGUGUAAGGAUUAGCAGCAAGGUCAUUUUGCCCUGCCUGAAGGAACAAGUGCCAACAGAGGAAUUUGUAACAGGGAGUAAUUAGAGUUUACUGAGCAGGGAAGUGAUAUUAUCAGAACUGUGCUUUAGAAAUAUGCCUGCAGUUAUGUGGAAGACAGAUUGGAAAGGAGAGACCUAAGGCAAGGAGGCAAUCAUUAGAAGGUUAUUGUCCUGGGAAAAGGUGGUGAGAGCUAGUAGCUAAGGUAAAUGGGAAGAAGGUGAUCCAUGUGCGAAAUGUCAUGGAGGCAGAAUCAACAAAACCUGUAACUGACUGCUUACAUGGAGUGAGGGGAAGUGAGGUGACGGAGACAACAGAAGGGUGGCAAACACUGGGUGAAUGGAAGGAUUACGAUGCCCUCAACAGCGCCUGGAAAGCUCAGAAGAAGUGUGCAGAGGAGUGAAGAAGAGGAAACUAAUAUUUGUCAAUUGAAAAAUAAAAUAAAAAUUACAAUAAAAAAGA